AUUGAACGCUGGCGGCAUGCCUUACACAUGCAAGUCGAACGGCAGCACGGGAGCAAUCCUGGUGGCGAGUGGCGAACGGGUGAGUAAUAUAUCGGAACGUGCCCAGUCGUGGGGGAUAACGCAGCGAAAGCUGUGCUAAUACCGCAUACGAUCUAAGGAUGAAAGCGGGGGAUCGCAAGACCUCGCGCGAUUGGAGCGGCCGAUAUCAGAUUAGCUAGUUGGUGGGGUAAAGGCCCACCAAGGCGACGAUCUGUAGCUGGUCUGAGAGGACGACCAGCCACACUGGGACUGAGACACGGUCCAGACUCCUACGGGAGGCAGCAGUGGGGAAUUUUGGACAAUGGGCGCAAGCCUGAUCCAGCAAUGCCGCGUGCAGGAUGAAGGCCUUCGGGUUGUAAACUGCUUUUGUACGGAACGAAACGGCCCUUUCUAAUACAGGGGGCUAAUGACGGUACCGUAAGAAUAAGCACCGGCUAACUACGUGCCAGCAGCCGCCGUAA
rnacentral:rRNA from 1 species